rnacentral:lncRNA from 1 species
CUCGCGUACAUACAACUUUAUAAUUACGACUUUGCUUCCAUUAUAAACGACUUUUGUUUUAUUCCGCAGUUGUUACAGGCAGCAGCUCCAGAAAGGGUGUGCUCCCCUGAAUUCUGCCCCACCAGCUUUGUGUCCCGAAUGGCAUGCAGAUGCAACUUUAUUUCAAAGGGGCCAUUUCAGUUGAAGGGAUUGCAGCGCUACGUUUCUUUGUCCACAGAUGUGAAUUCUGCAAAUGAUUAUAAUAAUAAUAAUAAACGGUAAUAUC